GAGAUUCUUGGCGGAUGCUCAUUGGUCAAGAGGUAAGCGUUAGUCUCCCAUAAAUCACGCCAUCGACGAACCUCAGUCUCGCGUGGUCUUAGCCGCCUCCUGAGGGCUCAUGCUUGAGAUUCCGUGUUUUUCUAUUCUUCGGUUCAAUUUGACUUGGAAGUCCUCUCGGGCUGAAAUCCUUUGAGGCAGCCGGAUGUGUCCCACAUACAUUUCCAAACUUGCCACUGAGGGUGGCUCUUUCAUCCCUCCGUGUUGAAAGCCCCCAGGCAGGCGCCGACCUCCAAGCAGGAGCAAGUUUGGCGUGUAGCACAGAAGGAGCGAUGGCCUGUGAGGCAGAGCGUGGCAGGGGAGCUGCUGGAGAUGUAGACUGAGCCCGAAUCAGGCAGUCCAUGUGAACUCCAUUGAAAUAUGGUGUGUCAAAUGAGUAUUGUGCCUCAGCAAAUCAGCAGAGUGAGCAGUGUGAUGGCUGCUUUGGUCAGUGGAGGAAGUUGAAAUGAAGACAGAGUGAAGAUGGAGAAACAAGAUGGAAGUGGUAGAGAGAACCAAGAGAGAAGGCUAAGGUGGCUCUGAGAAGGAAUAGAGAACUUUUCUUCUUGUUAAGGGCAGCAGAGGGAAGAAUCCAGCUGACAACUCACUAUUCACAGCCAUCUGGCUCCAGGAACAACAGAUUGAUCAUGUAUGUGCCCAACUCUUUCAAAAUGGAAAUGAUGAACCCACAAAGGAAAAACUCCCAAGGAUCUUAAUAGAACAUAUUGCCUAAUACAAAACAGCAAAUGAUAAGGACUUCUGCAGAAGGAAAGCAAUCAAACAAAACAAAGAAGGGAAGAAACAAAGAAAGAUAAUGACAGCACAACUGGAUCAAACUGGUUUUCCCACACUUCCUGCCUGGGUAACUAGAGAUUGUUACCCACCCAAUGAACCACUGCACCCCUCAUCUCUGGUGAUUGCAUGCUACUCAAGACCUGGAGGGAACAGGAACCUGAUUACCAACUUGCUGAGAUAUGGACAGAGACAGAGCCACAUGCUAUUUUCGUGACCACUUAAUCAUGUCUUAGGUCAACUGUGGUGCAACCUUGGAUACAUCACAGCCAGGUGAAAGGAGCCCCACUUGAGAGAUCAGAAACACAACCUGAGGCUUCUCCAUGGACAUAUACACCAGAAAAGAAGAAUAAUCUGUGUAGUGGGAACCCUCCGUUGGCCCCCUUCAUAUUGAAUGAGAGCACGCACUCAUGAAGGAUUAUGGGUGAUCAUUUCCCAUGCUCGGAUGCUUGUUCCCAGGCUGUGGUGUUUGGCAGAAAUCAGUGAUUUUUCAGAACAUUGGAAGGUGCCCACAGCUGGCAUUGGUGUAUUUUUUGUCAUUUCAAAGAACCUAUGGACAGUCCUUUGCUUUUCCAUACAAGAGUAACCUUAGGGAUACUUUGCUUCAUUCUAGGUCAGGCUGCCUGCAGACAUAGACCCUUUCCUCUGCUGCCUUAUUGCCAGUUACAUUAAAUACAGUAUAGGACAAGAGUUUAUUAAUACUUUACUGUAGUCAACAUACGUUAGUGAUAGUGAAAGUCAUCUUACACAAUAACCCUCCUCUCUCUUGUCUCCCUCACACCAGCCUUGAAGGUUUUCAAAGAAGAGCCCUUGGAGCAUGCUGUGUUUACUAUCCCAGCUGUUACUGAGGCAUUCAAUGACACCCACUUUUCUUUGGUUGUUCACCUGCCAAUGACAGGGCCUGGACUGAGAGCAUGCUCUUCCAGAUGUGGCACGUGCUUCUGGCAGGUGUCCAAGGAUGCACCAUUAUGCUUCAGCGUGGGGCCCGACACAGGGCUCAAUACCAUGACCUUGGGAUCAUGACCUGAGGCGAAAUAAGAGUCAGGCGCUCAGUGGACUGAACUACCCAGGCACCCCAAGAAUUUGCAUUUCUGACGAGCAUCAUGUGAUGCUAAUGCCGCCUGUCCAUAAACCACACUUUGAGAACCCACUCUGGAUUAAGACAAG